rnacentral:rRNA from 1 species
UACGUAGGGUGCAAGCGUUAAUCGGAAUUACUGGGCGUAAAGCGUGCGCAGGCGGUUAUGCAAGACAGAUGUGAAAUCCCCGGGCUUAACCUGGGAACUGCAUUUGUGACUGCAUAGCUAGAGUACGGUAGAGGGGGAUGGAAUUCCGCGUGUAGCAGUGAAAUGCGUAGAUAUGCGGAGGAACACCGAUGGCGAAGGCAGUCCCCUGGACCUGUACUGACGCUCAUGCACGAAAGCGUGGGGAGCAAACAGG